GACGAACGCUGGCGGCGUGCCUAAUACAUGCAAGUAGAACGCAGUUGCGAACGGGUGAGUAACGCGUAGGUAACUGCCUCAUAGCGGGGGAUAACUAUUGGAAACGAUAGCUAAUACCGCAUACUGUGAGAUGGCCCUGCGUUGUAUUAGCUCGUUGGUGAGGUAAAGGCUCACCAAGGCGACGAUACAUAGCCGGCCUGAGAGGGUGAUCGGCCACAAUUGGACCGGGACACGGCCCCGACUUCCACGGGAGGGAGCAGUAGGGAAUUUUCGGCCAUGGACGGAAGUCCGACCGAGCAACGGCGCGGGAGUGAAGAAGGUUCUCGGAGUGUAAAGCUCUUUUGUUAGAGAAGCGGUAACUAAACAGAAAGGGACGGCUAACUACGUGCCAGCAGCCGCGGUAAUUC
rnacentral:rRNA from 1 species